AGUGAACGCUGGCGGUGGGCCUAACACAUGCAAGUCGAACGGCAGCACAGUAAGAGCUUGCUCUUACGGGUGGCGAGUGGCGGACGGGUGAGGAAUACAUCGGAAUCUACUUUUUCGUGGGGGAUAACGUAGGGAAACUUACGCUAAUACCGCAUACGACCUACGGGUGAAAGCAGGGGAUCUUCGGACCUUGCGCGAUUGAAUGAGCCGAUGUCGGAUUAGCUAGUUGGCGGGGUAAAGGCCCACCAAGGCGACGAUCCGUAGCUGGUCUGAGAGGAUGAUCAGCCACACUGGAACUGAGACACGGUCCAGGCUCCUACGGGAGGCAGCAGUGGGGAAUAUUGGACAAUGGGCGCAAGCCUGAUCCAGCCAUACCGCGUGGGUGAAGAAGGCCUUCGGGUUGUAAAGCCCUUUUGUUGGGAAAGAAAAGCAGCAGGUUAAUACCCCGCUGUUCUGACGGUACCCAAAGAAUAAGCACCGGCUAACUUCGUG
rnacentral:rRNA from 1 species